rnacentral:lncRNA from 1 species
CUUUCCAUGCCUCCUCUUCUUUCUUCCUCCACGGCAGCAAAGGGUCUUCAUCCUCCUCUUCUUCCACGGUAGCAAGGCAAGGAAGAUCCAUGUGCAAGGUUCCUCCUUCCUCUUCCUCCAUCGCAAGCAAGGUUGAAGAAGAAAGGAUUCUUCUUUAAGGAGGUAUAUUGCAGAUUUUUAUCUUCUAAUCUAUAUGAUAGUCAUGAAAGGUCUUUGCAAGGAGCUAGCACUCCGGUAAGACCCUAUCUCAGAUGAUUAGAUCCUCGUGUGGAUACCUAUAGAGGCCGGAUAAUUGUGUGGCUCAAACAGGAACCUAGAUAGAUCAUCAGGCUGCGGUGUUCUUCACCUGCAAAAUUUUUGAAGAUGAGAUCUUCAAAUUAAUUUCUUCUGAUUUUAGUUUCAGUUUUAUGAAUCUUAAUCAACCUUCCUCA